UUUGAUCCUGGCUCAGAUUGAACGCUGGCGGCAGGCCUAACACAUGCAAGUCGAGCGGCAGCACGGGUACUUGUACCUGGUGGCGAGCGGCGGACGGGUGAGUAAUGCCUAGGAAUCUGCCUGGUAGUGGGGGAUAACGUUCGGAAACGGACGCUAAUACCGCAUACGUCCUACGGGAGAAAGCAGGGGACCUUCGGGCCUUGCGCUAUCAGAUGAGCCUAGGUCGGAUUAGCUAGUUGGUGAGGUAAUGGCUCACCAAGGCGACGAUCCGUAACUGGUCUGAGAGGAUGAUCAGUCACACUGGAACUGAGACACGGUCCAGACUCCUACGGGAGGCAGCAGUGGGGAAUAUUGGACAAUGGGCGAAAGCCUGAUCCAGCCAUGCCGCGUGUGUGAAGAAGGUCUUCGGAUUGUAAAGCACUUUAAGUUGGGAGGAAGGGCAUUUACCUAAUACGUAAGUGUUUUGACGUUACCGACAGAAUAAGCACCGGCUAACUCUGUG
rnacentral:rRNA from 1 species